CUGUGUGAAUUGCAGAAUCCCGUGAACCAUCGAGUCUUUGAACGCAAGUUGCGCCCGAAGCCACUAGGCCGAGGGCACGUCUGCCUGGGUGUCA
rnacentral:rRNA from 1 species